rnacentral:lncRNA from 1 species
GGGUUUGGUAAUCAAACCACGUUAAUAGUAAAGACGGGUAAAAUGCCGUUAGUGGUAAAAAUUAACCCGGUAAAUAUUAGGACUCAAAUAAAUAAACCUAGUAUUAAUUAAAAAGGGGGAUAAAUACUUUGAGAAAACAAAGUAUAUAAAAAGGCCAAAUUAACGGGACUUAAAAACAUAACAGGUUAUAAUUUCCCGAACCCGUUAAAAUAACUAGGAGUAAUUAACCUAGUUAGUGGCUUGUGAUUAAGUGACUAAUGGUGAGGCAUAGCUUUAUUUGAUCAAAAGAAAACCCGAGGGACCAAAACCGUUAAAAAUGGUAAACUUGAAAGAUUAAAACAAAAUAAACACCACCAAACACACACUUAGGUGUGUUUGGUCGAUUAAAAACGCAGGGAACGAGCAGGAGCUUCACACAAACCCUAACUCUCACUAAAUCAAUCAAUUGAAGGCUCUAAUCUGGUCCAAAUCGAAAUCCGAGCACGUAUUAGUGAUCCCCACUGAAAAAGGAGUCACAAGUUUGACUCUAAACAAGCUAGGUGGGAGCUUGGAAAGGAACGGGUCAAACGAAUGAUGGAUGCGAAGGAUGUUUGCGCGGACGCGAGGGUAAAACGGCUUAUGGAAUUUACGUGGCUAUGAAUCAGCAAAUUAUUAAGGAAAGGUAUUAAAACGGGUCAAUACUUUGACCCGCGC